UGAUUGAUGAUUUUGCAAAAUAUUGUAGGACAAAUUUGACAGUGAUGACAUGAAUCAUCAAAGAGAUCAUGUCUUAAACCAUAUGAAAAAGUUAUGGACCAAUUGGAGAGGAUCAUUGCACAAGUAUGUAAAGUUUAAGCCAUUGCAUGAAGAUCUAAAAGGUGUUCCGAAGGAGGUAGACAAGAGUGAUUGGGAAUGGUUGGUCAAAGAAUAUUUUUUAAGUGAAAAUUUUAAAGGAAGCAAGUAUUAGAAACUCGAUCAAUAGGUCUAAGUUGAGAAUGCCUCAUCGUACGGGUAGCAAGCCGAUUAGAGAAAUUAUUUACGAACUGGUAAGAGCACAACAAUCCGAUUCAUAUCCGCUGAAGAGUGCUUUUUCCAGUUUAAUUUUUGCACCUUGAACUGCAACCUACACUGUUUAUUGGCUUUGAUUUUACAUGUUUGGUUUAGCAAUGUUACAGAAUUACUAAUUCUAAAAAAAAUGCAACAGAAUAAUAUGGAAGUAAAGGACUUGACUGGUACUAUAUAACUUGGUGAUUAAUAGUGACUCUUCUGCUGCAGAAUAAUAGUGAUUGAUACUAAAAUGCAACAGAACAAUAGUGAUUGUUCUGCUGCAGUAGAUCACUUGCUGCUUACUUUAGUUUCAGUGCUCCGUAAUUUCAUAGCUUAAUGCAUAUCAUAAUUGCUGGCUUUUGGUAGAGUUGGAUUGAAGUAGCCUGCAUCCAUGUAGCUCCAAAUGAUCCUGAAUUUUCCUUAAUGGCUAUAUUUACCUUAUGUCUAUUUCAUCUCUUUUUUACACUAGAUGCAAAAGGGAGGCAUAAAUUAGAGCUUUAUAAGUUCAUCAAUCUCCUCUGUCUCUUAUUUAAUAUGCAAAACACUUUUUUUAAAACAUACAAAGAAGUCAUAAAUAUAUCAGAUUUGAUGUCUAGGAAAUGCUGCAUCUUAUCCGUAACACCUGAGGAUAGUAGCAAUUACAAUUAACUUGGUGGUUAAAAUUGUUACUAAUAAGCCUUGCAGUCCCGCACUACUGAGGCAGGUUCUGAUGCAACUUGCUCCAAACUAAGGUGGGAUCUUCAGGCAGUGUUUAAUGUCUUUGUUUGACUUGUUUAUUUAAAUGUGAAUGGAGGCAAAGACGGUAAUCCACCGAACAUGGCAACUAUAUUCUUUGAGACUCACAAGAAAGACGACACGCUUGUAGAACCUGAAGCUAGUAAAAAAUAUGCUGAAAUACAAGAGCUGGUACAGUCUGAGCCAUCUCUUACAAAUAUCGAGGUAACAGAAAGGUGUUUCGGACCUCAAAGCAAGAGUCA